GCUGUAUGCUUUGUCCACAAUUUAAAUAACAUUCACACUUGCUUCUAUAGCAAACAAAGACCUGAGGCCACAAACACCCGAAUCCGAUUUGCAAGAUACAUCUCAAGAUGAAAGAGCGACAUCUCCGCCUCUGAAAAGGUCAAGGCCUUCGGGCCUACUCAGGGCUCCCCAAUUUACUCAAAGUCCCCGGCAGCCCCUGGACAUCCAGGAACAUCAAAAAUCAGAACCCAUUGCUGGUGGUAGCACAACGCUACAACGAGAAGAGGUCAGUAAUAUGUUAGACUCUUUUGAGAGGAGGAUGGUGUCUAGGAUUGAAAAGCUGCAGGAGGGCUUUGAGCGGAGGAUGAUGUUGAAGCUGGAAGUGAUGCAGGAGGGCUUCAACAGCAUCCUCAACAAGGUGGUAAACCACCUGGAGGGCCAGGGCAACAGGCCCGUGGCAGAGGAGGUAGAAGACCUUUUGGAGCGGCCACUGGAGGCCCUGGAGGAGUUGGACGGGCUAUGCCACAGACUCCAGGCAGAUGCCCCAUACAAAAAAAAGAUUAUUUAGUACUUGAGUCUGCAGGCUGGGGUGAGCAUCGGAGAUGGAGUGAGGCGGAUGCUGAGAAGAGUCGGCAGCAAUGGACUAGAAUGCUACUGCGGGUGUGCAUUUCCCCCGACAACAUUCGGCGGGUCAAGCUUCCCUGUUUCCCAGAAUCUGUGGACCACCUAAAAGAUGUUCUCAGAGAGAUGCUUGAACUAAAAGAAGAUUUUGUUUUGCAAUUUGAAGGUCCGGAAUUUGACAAUUCACUGUGCAAUUUAAACAGCAUAGAGGAGUUGCCUGCCGACAAAGCCGUCCUAAAAGUGGUUUGGCACAAAAUGACCUCAAACGCCACUCAGAUGCCUAUGACAGACCUGUCCAACACCAACUCCAAUUCGUCAUUUGAAACGGCAAGCAUAUCUAGUCACACAGAGUUCUCCAACCCUUUACCAAAAUCUGAAAAACACCAAAGAUUUGACAGGACCAUUUGAAAUUCCAACAUUCCCCCUUGAUGUUGAGCUUCGUCUAAAAAAAGCCAAUGACAGUUACAAGCAGACCAAAACCCCCUUUGACCCCCCAAGAGACAUGAGAUCAGCCAUUUGUAUUUCGAUAGUCCAAUCCAUUUUUGAAUCAAAUUGCUACCCAGAAAGGUCCGAGAUGAGGGCUGCUGUUGCUGCACUUUUAGAAAAAUACCCAUGCCUGUCCCGGGAGUUUAGGGUAAGAAACGGCCAUUUUCCUGUAGAGUGGAAAGUAAACAAACUGAAUGUAUGCACGUCAAAUCUAUUGGUUGUUAGCACUAGAGGCAAUGUCGUAAGUACAAAUUCAUUGUUAUGUUAAUAAGUUAAUGUAAAAUACUGUUUAAAAAGGAAAGACUACACAUAGUUACCACGUUUUAUUUACAUAUAUUUACAGGUAUAUUCCAUUACGAGAUUUAUGCUAAAAC
ensembl:lncRNA